UACGGGGGGGGCAAGCGUUGUUCGGAAUUACUGGGCGUAAAGGGUUUGUAGGUGGCCGGCUAAGUCAGAUGUGAAAUCCCCGGGCUUAACCUGGGAACUGCAUUUGUGACUGGCGGGCUAGAGUAUGGCAGAGGGGGGUAGAAUUCCACGUGUAGCAGUGAAAUGCGUAGAGAUGUGGAGGAAUACCGAUGGCGAAGGCAGCCCCCUGGGCCAAUACUGACGCUCAUGCACGAAAGCGUGGGGAGCAAACAGG
rnacentral:rRNA from 1 species